rnacentral:lncRNA from 1 species
ACGUGGAGAGCCAGAAGCAGAGAAGUAAAUGUGUAGAAUGAAAUAUUCUAAAUAUAUUAAAAGUCCACAUAUGGUCUGAAGUCCUUAGCAUUCUGUUAGUAAUAAAAGAAACACAAAUAAAACUACUUAAGUAGAAAUAAGAAUAUACUGAGUUAUUUAAUAAAACAGAAGAAUAGUAGGAAUAUUACACACAGGGACAGGAACUUAAUUGUACCUCUCUAUAUCUUAUCUCUGCUCCAAUUGUAACCAGACCCAGGUUUGGCUCCCCAUCGCUGGAAAGCUGAACACAAGAGGUGCUUGAGUGACAUGAGUCUCUUAAUCAUUUAAAAAUUAAAGCAUCAUCAACCAGCACUGUAGAAUUAAGAAUAUAAGGCAUCCCAUUCUGCCCUGCAUAUUCAAGGAAUGAGUUUGUGGAUCACCACCCAGAUCCUCCUCAUUACAAAGAAAAAUUGCUCAGUGGAGUCUGGAGUGAGACAGGAGAGAGCUUCAGAACACAGAUCCGUCACUCAGCCGUGCAACACUGGAUGAUCUCUUGGUUCUUUCUUCAUUACCUAAUGCUCAAUUCCAAGUUACAGAGCUAAUGCUUGUGACUUAGGGCAUAGGCCUCAAAUACCAGUUUUUUUCCUUCUCCACUGAAGGCAGUUCAAUUGCACAUUUAUUUAAAAACCAAAAUAGUGUCUUUGAUCCUCUACCUAUUAACUGAGUCCAUAGAUGGCUCUUUAAAAAACAGUCAAUUAAAAUUUGGUUCUGCAUAGCUAUGCUUAAACUGUUUCCCAUGGAACUGUCUUUGAGUUUGGGGUUCAGGAAUCUAUUUGGCCUUUUCUACCCAAAGAAAAAAAAAUUAUCAUCUUCAUCUCUAAUAAAUGGCAGCACCUUAAUUUAUAAUUCAAAAGGAGAAAUAACACAUAUGUGGCUGUCAGGAAAGGGGAAACAUUUUGGAAAUGGCUUUUGUGAAAGAUUAUGAAGUCUACCUACUGUACCUUAUCACUGCAGAAGGAAAAUGAUGUUUCUUUUGAUCAAAACAUGACAAGGAGCACAUCAAAAUCAAUACAUGGAGAAUUUAAUCCUCUGAGCUGUCAGAAUCACAAACAGAGAAAGUGAAUGUUAAUGACAGAAAGGCAAACAUGUUUAUUGUGGAAAGGUUACUGCUGAGAUGCCUGCCUACCCUCUUAGAAAAAGUAAAGAAAGAUAUUACUCAAGGACCAUAAACCUUACUAUCAAUUUUUUCGUGAAAAAAUUAAAAAUGGUAUUUAACAUAUCAAGUCUCCAAAUCUGAAAGAAAGAAUAUAUGUCCAUGUCUUUAUCCAAAAAAUAUGACAAAGGGUUUACACCUAUAUAAAAUAUGUUUUAAAAGUGUACUCAAAUAUUUAUACAUUUUUAGUGUAUUUAAAAAUAUAUGUAAAUAUUGGCAAAUAUACAGGAGUAAAGAAAGUGAUAUAAUAAAUCCCCAUAAACUCACCAACUAGAUAUAAAAUAAGUGUCAUGAUUUUGGCAAUUUUGCUUUAUUUCUUGUGUUGCUUUUCUUCUUCUUUUCUGCAAUUUUUAAUUGUGGAAACAUUUAAAGCACAGACCAAAAGCCUCACUCACUCCUAGAUAUUUCUAUAAAAAUCCUUUAAAAGCAUGGACUCUUUCUUAGGAAAUCAUAGCGACAUUAUUUUGCCUGACAUAAUUAAAUAUCAUUUUCUAAUAUCAUUUUAUAUUAGUCUAUAAUAAAAUGUUUUAAAAAUUAUUUUUAUCAUUUUUUAAAUCAGGAUCCAAAUUAUAGAUGACUUUAAAAUGAAAAAUUAACAAAUAGUUUUAAAAAAAUUCCAAUAAGAGUAUAUUAGAGUGAGAAGUGUGGUCAAAUAUUCAACACAAUUAAAGCAAUAUUAGGGUAAUAUUUAUGUUAUUAAGGCAAUUCUUAUGUUGUCAAUGCAGCAUAUAUUAAUGUUUGUUUUUUAAAAAAAGUCUAUGGUACCUAGCCUUGGUAAGGCUUUAGAGAGCUGAAUACAGUUUUGCAUUGCCAGGAGUGUGGUGCAUCAGAGCAAUUUUCUUAGAUAUGAGAGUAUUAUGAUAGGUAAUGGAAGUCAGAAGAAAAUGUUCUUCACAUUUAACAUCACUCACCUACUGCUGGACACGUAUUGUAAGGAAAGAAUCUGGACAAAGUAAAAUAAAUUUUUAAAACAUACAUUUUCCUAGCAGUUUAAUUUUUAAGGCAGAAACAUAAUGGGGAAAACAGGUGAACCUAUAGCAUCACGUAAGUUAAAUAAAUAUUCCGUAUUAACUCAAGGUUGCAUUGUGUAGUCAUUAAAAUGAUGAAUAUAAAGAUUGAUGGUAGUAUGUACCCUAGAACUUAAAGUAUAAUAAAAUAUAUAUGAAUUCCCACAUGUUGCGGGAGGUAACUGAAUCAUGGGGGCAGGUCUUUCCCAUGCUGUUCUUGUGAUAGUGAAUACAUGUCAUGAGAUCUGAUGGUUGUAAAAACGGGAGUCUUCCUCCACAAGCUCUCUCUUCUUGUAUGCCACCAUGUGAGACAUUCCUUUCACCUUCCACCAUGAUUGUGAGGCCUUCCCAGCCACAUAGAAUUUGUAAGUCCAAUAAACCUCUUCUUUUGUUAAAAAAAAAAAAAAUUUGAACCAAAAAAAAUAAAUAAAAAUAAAAAUAAAGAUUGAAAGGUAACAUGGAAAAAUUUAAAUGCAUAAAAUUUUAAAAAAGAACACAAAAGUGUAUGUAUAUUUUAACUGUAUCUACAUAAAACGUGUGGUAACAUAGAUUAAAUAUUGUAAGGCAACACAUAAAAAUGAAAGCAAUUAUAUUAGAGUUGGAAGGGUAAAAGUAAGCAUUAAGAAAUAACAAGGCUUGUUCUUUUCCUACAAUUCAUUUAAUAUUACUCAUUGUAGAGCAUACAGGGAAGUUUAAAGAAACAUACAAUAAUCACCAAUAAUCUCAUCACUUCCAAAUAAUCACUAUUUAGUAUUUUGUUUUUUAUGUGUGUGUGUGUGUGUGUAUAUAUAUAUAUACACAUAUAUCUGUAUAUGUGUGUGUAUAUAUAUCUGUAUAUGUAUAUAUAUAUCUGUAUAUGUGUAUAUAUAUCUGUAUAUGUGUAUAUAUAUGUAUUUAUAUAUAUAUAAAACACUGACAUAUCAUGAGGGUUUUCUCACAUAAAUAUUUUACAUAAAUUUAUUUAACUGUUUCAUAUUAUUAAGCAAUUAGGUUGUUUAUAAUGCUUCCUCAGCAACAGUAGUAAGCACAGGAGUAGCCACCACAAAACCUGCAUGGGCUCCAUGCUGAUGGCUACGGAAACCCUAUGAUAGGCAUUUUUCCUCAGCCUCAGCACUAUUUGCUUUCCCAUUUUAAUUAUGUGGAAUCUGAGGACCCAUGUGAAGUGGUGUGCACAACAGAACUAACAAAAUGUUGAGCCAUGAUUAAAACCUGGGUAAAAUAAGUGGCAACUUCAUGUUUUUUCCAUCUUUCAUCUAUGAUCAACCUUUACGUAAGUCUUAGUUUACAUCAUAAGUUAGGGGAAAAAGAUCUUUGUAAAUAAUAUUAUUGGGUCAGCGACAUUACAUUUUGUCAGAGUUCUGUGGAAGCAUUGCUAAAAUGUCAUCCAAAGCAUCCUUGCCUUGUUGUAUAUGUAUAUAUGCCCACACGUUAAUUAUUGUAUAUCAUAUUAUGUAAUGAAUAAUACAGAUUUUUUAGUGUGUGUGUAUAAAUUUACAUAUAUAUGUGUGCAUGUCUAUAUGUACAUACAAAACUAAUAUUUUCUAUUAUAAAUUACAUAUUUAUAUGUAGUAUAUAGUUCAGGAGACUAUCACAAAAUGUAUAAUUUAUAUAAUAUAAAUUGUGUGUAUGUGUACACACAUAUACAUAUAUACGUAUGUGUGUAUAUAUAUGUGCGUGUGUGUGUAUAUAUAUAUGUAUAUAUAUAUAUAUACAUCCCUAAAAUGCUAAUAAUGUUGGUGAAAAUGUUACCGAAAUGCCAGAGGUUUGGUUUCAGUCCUGGUGCUCACCGCACAGAAAGCCAAUCACCAAGACAAUGAGUAUUUCCAGGGACGAAGGGUUUAAUCAGGUGCUGCAGUAGAGCAGAUGGGAGAUCAGUCUCAAAUCCAUAUCCCUCAGCAACUAAAAUAAGGGAAUUGUAUAUCAGAGAAGAAACGUUACUAUGUGUGGGAAAACAGGAAUGAGGGAGGGGUAAGGAAAAGGAGUUGGUCCACAGGCAGCCGGUGAUCAGUUAGACAAUCAAGACAGGUGAAGGGGUCUGGCGUCUCAUUGUCCAGAUGUGGUGACCUGCUAAGUGUCAGCUCCUUGAUGUCAUCUGGGAAGCCUGAUGACUGGUUUCCUGAGAAAGGAAUUUUGAUAAGACAAAUGCAACUUUCUCAAGUUUCAAGACCAGGAGGGUAAAUUUCUAUGUUUAUUCAAAAGAGACCAUGAAUAUCAGUUCUAUGGGACGAUUGGGCUUGUUUCAAAAAGCUUUGUCAUGGUUGUCUUAAUUUUUCUUUCUUUUGGUAGUAAGAAUAAAUGGUUUUAAUGUGUUCAUUGGUGUUUGCAUUUCUUUUAAUUAUAUUCCCUAUAAAAAAGAUUUAAACAGCAUCAUAAAUAAGCAUUGUUAGCAAUUUCAGUUCCAUUUCAUUUUGUUUUUAUUUAUUUAUUACAUAUACUAAAUGUACGCUAUGUAGAUGCACAUAUGAAGGGAUUCUUGAUUUUUUUAAGUUAAUUUACUUUAUGUUAUAAAUAUUAGAAAAUGCAAAUAGACCAAAUAUUUAAAAAUGGAUAAAUAUGACACGUGCUACACCAGCCAUUGUGGAAUAAUUUAUUAGACUAAGCUUUCCUAUGAGGCACCUUGAAUAGCAGCAGUGUUAGGUAUUUUAAGUAUUAUGUCAAAUGCCUAGUAUUAUAUUUUCUGGAUUAUAUCUACGGUCUUGCUCUGUCUCUCAGGUUGGAGUGCAGUGGGGUGACCAUGGCUCACUGCAGCCUUGACCUCCUGGGCUCAAGGGAUCCUCCCACCUCAGCCUCCGGAGUAGUUGGGACAGGCACAUUGUUCCAUAUCCUGUUAAUUUUUUUUUCUUAAUUAGAGACAGAAUCUCAUUAUGUUAUCCAGGUUGGUCUCAAACUCCUGGUCCCAAGCAAUCCUCCUUCCUUGACCUCCCAAAGUGUUGGGAUUACAGGCAUGAGCCACUGAGCCCAGUGAUAUUUGUAUUCUAGAAGUUGAAUUGCUGAGUCAAAGAAGUAAAAAAAGAAACAAUGUUUAAUUAUUAUUGGUAAAUUGCCUUUCAGAAAGUUUAGUUUUUUAGUCCCCGACCAAUUAUUUAUGAAAGUAAUUAUUGCCAUAUAAUUUUGUGAAAACUAGAUUUAUUUUGGGAUGAGGGGACAAAAUUGACAGCUAAAAAAUGGUAUCAAUCUGCAAAACUUUUUUUUUUCAGUUGAUGGUGGGGACAAAGUUGACAGCUAAAAAGUGGGGACAUUCUGCAAAACUUUUUUUUUAGUUGAUGAUAAAGCUAAACAUUUUUGUACAUAAAACCCUACUAUUUCCUUUUUUGAAAAAUGUGUAUUUAUUGUUUUGUUCAUCUCUAAUAAUGAAGGUGUUAUUUAUUUAUCAAUUUG